rnacentral:rRNA from 1 species
AUUGAACGCUGGCGGCAGGCUUAACACAUGCAAGUCGAGCGGAGAGAGGUAGCUUGCUACCGAUCUUAGCGGCGGACGGGUGAGUAAUGCUUAGGAAUCUGCCUAUUAGUGGGGGACAACAUUUCGAAAGGAAUGCUAAUACCGCAUACGUCCUACGGGAGAAAGCAGGGGAUCUUCGGACCUUGCGCUAAUAGAUGAGCCUAAGUCGGAUUAGCUAGUUGGUGGGGUAAAGGCCUACCAAGGCGACGAUCUGUAGCGGGUCUGAGAGGAUGAUCCGCCACACUGGGACUGAGACACGGCCCAGAAUCCUACGGGAGGCAGCAGUGGGGAAUAUUGGACAAUGGGCGCAAGCCUGAUCCAGCCAUGCCGCGUGUGUGAAGAAGGCUUUAUGGUUGUAAAGCACUUUAAGCGAGGAGGAGGCUACUUUAGUUAAUACCUAGAGAUAGUGGACGUUACUCGCAGAAUAAGCACCGGCUAACUCUGUGCCAGCAGCCGCGGUAACAC